rnacentral:rRNA from 1 species
UACGUAGGUGGCAAGCGUUGUCCGGAUUUACUGGGCGUAAAGAGCGCGCAGGCGGUCGUUCAAGUCGCGUGUGAAAGCCCCCGGCUCAACUGGGGAGGGUCACGCGAUACUGAUCGACUCGAAGGCAGGAGAGGGAAGUGGAAUUCCCGGUGUAGUGGUGAAAUGCGUAGAGAUCCGGAAGAACACCAGUGGCGAAGGCGGCUCGCUGGGGUGUAGCUGACGCUGAGGCGCGACAGCGUGGGGAGCAAACAGG